AACGAACGCUGGCGGCAUGCCUAACACAUGCAAGUCGAACGAGACCUUCGGGUCUAGUGGCGCACGGGUGCGUAACGCGUGGGAACCUGCCCUUAGGUUCGGAAUAACUCCCCGAAAGGGGUGCUAAUACCGGAUAAUGUCUUCGGACCAAAGAUUUAUCGCCUUUGGAUGGGCCCGCGUUGGAUUAGCUCGUUGGUAGGGUAAAAGCCUACCAAGGCGACGAUCAAUAGCUGGUCUGAGAGGAUGAUCAGCGACACUGGGACUGAGACACGGCCCAGACUCCUACGGGAGGCAGCAGUGGGGAAUAUUGGACAAUGGGCGAAAGCCUGAUCCAGCAAUGCCGCGUGAGUGAUGAAGGCCUUAGGGUUGUAAAGCUCUUUUACCCGGGAUGAUAAUGACAGUACCGGGAGAAUAAGCUCCGGCUAACUCCGUG
rnacentral:rRNA from 1 species